GACGAACGCUGGCGGCGUGCUUAACACAUGCAAGUCGAACGGAAAGGCCCUGCUUUUGUGGGGUGCUCGAGUGGCGAACGGGUGAGUAACACGUGAGUAACCUGCCCUUGACUUUGGGAUAACUUCAGGAAACUGGGGCUAAUACCGGAUAGGAGCUCCUGCUGCAUGGAGGGGGUUGGAAAGUUUCGGCGGGUGGGGAUGGACUCGCGGCUUAUCAGCUUGUUGGUGGGGUAGUGGCUUACCAAGGCUUUGACGGGUAGCCGGCCUGGGAGGGUGACCGGCCACAUUGGGACUGAGAUACGGCCCAGACUCCUACGGGAGGCAGAAGUGGGGAAUAUUGCACAAUGGGCGGAAGCCUGAUGCAGCAACGCCGCGUGCGGGAUGACGGCCUUCGGGUUGUAAACCGCUUUCGCCUGUGACGAAGCGUGAGUGACGGUAAUGGGUAAAGAAGCACCGGCUAACUACGUG
rnacentral:rRNA from 1 species